rnacentral:rRNA from 1 species
CCUACGGGUGGCAGCAGUGGGGAAUAUUGGACAAUGGGCGAAAGCCUGAUCCAGCCAUGCCGCGUGUGUGAAGAAGGCCUUCGGGUUGUAAAGCACUUUCAGUGGGGAAGAAAGCCUUGGGGCUAAUACCCUCGAGGAAGGACAUCACCCACAGAAGAAGCACCGGCUAACUCUGUGCCAGCAGCCGCGGUAAUACGGAGGGUGCGAGCGUUAAUCGGAAUUACUGGGCGUAAAGCGCGCGUAGGCGGUCUGAUAAGCCGGUUGUGAAAGCCCCGGGCUCAACCUGGGAACGGCAUCCGGAACUGUCAGGCUAGAGUGCAGGAGAGGAAGGUAGAAUUCCCGGUGUAGCGGUGAAAUGCGUAGAGAUCGGGAGGAAUACCAGUGGCGAAGGCGGCCUUCUGGACUGACACUGACGCUGAGGUGCGAAAGCGUGGGUAGCAAACAGGAUUAGAUACCCCAGUAGUC